UUUUUUAUGGAGAGUUUGAUCCUGGCUCAGGACGAACGCUGGCGGCGUGCUUAACACAUGCAAGUCGAACGGACUUUUAACGAAGAAAUUUUCGAAUGGACACGUUAAAGGUUAGUGGCGGACGGGUGAGUAACGCGUGGGUAACCUGGCCU
rnacentral:rRNA from 1 species